CCUACGGGUGGCAGCAGUGAGGAAUAUUGGUCAAUGGCCGGAAGGCUGAACCAGCCAUGCCGCGUGAAGGACAGAGGCCUACGGGCGGUAAACUUCUUUUGUCCGGGAGCAAGAAUGGGCACGUGUGGCCAGACGAGAGUACCGUACGAAUAAGCAGCGGCUAACUCCGAGCCAGCAGCCGCGGGAACACGGGGGAUGCAAGUGUUAUCCGGAGUUAUUGGGUUUUAAGGGUGCGUAGGCUGGGAGGUAAGUCAGAGGUGGAAGGCCCCCGCUCAACGGGGUGAAGUGCCAUUGAUACUGCCUUGCUGGAGUGCGGAUGCCGUGGGAGGAAUGUGUGGUGUAGCGGUGAAAUGCGUAGAUAUCA
rnacentral:rRNA from 1 species